rnacentral:rRNA from 1 species
UACGGGGGGGGGCAAGCGUUGUUCGGAAUUACUGGGCGUAAAGCGCGCGUAGGCGGACCUGCAAGUCGGGGGUGAAAGCCCGAGGCUCAACCUCGGAACUGCCUUCGAUACUGCGGGUCUCGAGUCCGGGAGAGGUGAGUGGAAUUCCCGGUGUAGCGGUGAAAUUCGUAGAUAUCAGGAGGAACAUCAGCGGCGAAGGCGGCUUCCUGGCUCAUUACUGACGUUCAGGUACGAAAGCGUGGGAU